UACGUAGGGUGCGAGCGUUGUCCGGAAUUAUUGGGCGUAAAGGGCUCGUAGGCGGUUUGUCGCGUCGGGAGUGAAAACCUACAGCUUAACUGUGGGCUUGCUUUCGAUACGGGCAGACUAGAGGUAUGCAGGGGAGAACGGAAUUCCUGGUGUAGCGGUGAAAUGCGCAGAUAUCAGGAGGAGCACCGGUGGCGAAGGCGGUUCUCUGGGCAUGAUCUGACGCUGAGGAGCGAAAGCGUGGGGAGCGAACAGG
rnacentral:rRNA from 1 species